rnacentral:rRNA from 1 species
GGGAGGCUUUGAAGUGUGGACGCCAGUCUGCAUGGAGCCGACCUUGAAAUACCACCCUUUAAUGUUUGAUGUUCUAACGUUGACCCGUGAUCCGGGUUGCGGACAGUGUCUGGUGGGUAGUUUGACUGGGGCGGUCUCCUCCUAAAGAGUAACGGAGGAGCACGAAGGUUGGCUAAUCCUGGUCGGACAUCAGGAGGUUAGUGCAAUGGCAUAAGCCAGCUUGACUGCGAGCGUGACGGCGCGAGCAGGUGCGAAAGCAGGUCAUAGUGAUCCGGUGGUUCUGAAUGGAAGGGCCAUCGCUCAACGGAUAAAAGGUACUCCGGGGAUAACAGGCUGAUACCGCCCAAGAGUUCAUAUCGACGGCGGUGUUUGGCACCUCGAUGUCGGCUCAUCACAUCCUGGGGCUGAAGUAGGUCCCAAGGGUAUGGCUGUUCGCCAUUUAAAGUGGUACGCGAGCUGGGUUUAGAACGUCGUGAGACAGUUCGGUCCCUAUCUGCCGUGGGCGCUGGAGAACUGAGGGGGGCUGCUCCUAGUACGAGAGGACCGGAGUGGACGCAUCACUGGUGUUCGGGUUGUCAUGCCAAUGGCACUGCCCGGUAGCUAAAUGCGGAAGAGAUAAGUGCUGAAAGCAUCUAAGCACGAAACUUGCCCCG